UAAAUACAGGGCCAGUAUUGCCAAUACCGAUACUUUUGGCUUAGAAAAGCAGUUUAUCUACUUUUGUGGGGGAAAGCAAUGCCUCUCAAUUGAUUAAGUGAAUGCAUCAUCAAUAUGAAUAUUUGAAUGAAAAUUUAACAUUUCUUGAUCAUUCAAUGAUUUUUCCUUUAGUUAAUUGUUCAUGAUUAUGAUCAUAAUAAAACACAGGACGGGUUUUGUCAAAAAUACUGUUAAUGUGUGCCGCUGAGUCAUGUUACUGCACGUAGCCUGUAGUAUCACCCGAUGCAUGACUCUGGAUUGGCACAACACCGAAACAAGAUAAUAUUUUCCUGCAGUAGUGAAUAUUGUAGGAUUACGGCUCAGAACAAGAUGGACAGAAUCAGAGUGCCAUCAUAUAGGCUACGGCCUGAGUAUGCUGAGGAAUCUGUUCCUGCAGGAUGCAGAAAAGGUCUUCAUCUCUGGACCAGUUUAUCAUCGGAGGAUGAAGUUGUAUGGAGGUCUAGAUGGAGGUCUAGAUGGAGUGAUAUGGAGGGGAUGGAAUGAUAUGGAGGGGUG